rnacentral:rRNA from 1 species
GAUGAACGCUGGCGGCGUGCUCAACACAUGCAAGUCGAACGGAAAGGCCCAAGCUUGCUUGGGUACUCGAGUGGCGAACGGGUGAGUAACACGUGGGUGAUCUGCCCUGCACUUCGGGAUAAGCCUGGGAAACUGGGUCUAAUACCGGAUAGGACCACAUUUUGGAUGGUGUGGUGGAAAGUUUUUCGGUGUGGGAUGAGCUCGCGGCCUAUCAGCUUGUUGGUGGGGUAAUGGCCUACCAAGGCGUCGACGGGUAGCCGGCCUGAGAGGGUGUACGGCCACAAUGGGACUGAGAUACGGCCCAGACUCCUACGGGAGGCAGCAGUGGGGAAUAUUGCACAAUGGGCGCAAGCCUGAUGCAGCGACGCCGCGUGGGGGAUGACGGCCUUCGGGUUGUAAACUCCUUUCGCUAGGGACGAAGCGCAAGUGACGGUACCUGGAGAAGAAGCACCGGCUAACUACGUG